rnacentral:rRNA from 1 species
GAUGAACGCUGGCGGCGUGCCUAAUACAUGCAAGUCGAGCGAACAGACGAGGAGCUUGCUCCUCUGACGUUAGCGGCGGACGGGUGAGUAACACGUGGAUAACCUACCUAUAAGACUGGGAUAACUUCGGGAAACCGGAGCUAAUACCGGAUAAUAUAUUGAACCGCAUGGUUCAAUAGUGAAAGACGGUUUUGCUGUCACUUAUAGAUGGAUCCGCGCCGCAUUAGCUAGUUGGUAAGGUAACGGCUUACCAAGGCGACGAUGCGUAGCCGACCUGAGAGGGUGAUCGGCCACACUGGAACUGAGACACGGUCCAGACUCCUACGGGAGGCAGCAGUAGGGAAUCUUCCGCAAUGGGCGAAAGCCUGACGGAGCAACGCCGCGUGAGUGAUGAGGGUCUUCGGAUCGUAAAACACUGUUAUUAGGGAAGAACAAAUGUGUAAGUAACUAUGCACGUCUUGACGGUACCUGAGCAGAAAGCCACGGCUAACUACGUG